CAAAUGGCCACAUGCUCACGUCCUAUGGCUUCUUCAAUUGCGAGACGUGCCCUAAUUCCAGAGGACUCUCCAAGCUUCUGCAUUAAGAUUGUCACUGAUAAUGACCUCCGAGAUGGGAAGGAACUUCCCGAGAUGGCUGUAAACAUAUAUCGAAACUGUAUGGAAGACUCUAUAUUCCUCAAGGUACCAAAUUAUGAGACAUUAUGGCCAAUUGAAGUGAAAAAAUCAGCUCAUGGUGGCCGAAUGUGGUUGCACAAGGGAUGGCAAGAGUUUGCCAACUUUUACUCACUAGAGCAAGGAUACUUGGUAUUUGUGAUGUUAUAAAGGCGAGCAUUCUCAUUUCCAAGGACGCAUUUUCCAUUGGAAUGAUGUGGAAAUCGAGUACCCUAUUCGCGGAUCAGGAGGAACUGAUGGCAUACCAAAAAGGAAAAGAACAAGAGCUCAUGGUGGCAUGCCUAAUGCUUAUUUAAAAGCAGCUAGAGCCAUUUCAAAUUCCUCCGGAUCCUCGGGUAAUGAACACCAGAAUGUUCUUUCCACAGCUAACAGUUUCAAAUCUGACAAGCCAUUCAUUAUGAUCAAAAUGACAGCUUAUUACUUGCGUAGAGAAAUGUUUAUAAGUGCAUCUUUUGCCACAAAACAUCUCUGUCGAGCAGGCGCUUCUUGUGACUUGUCCCUACAGACUCCAGAUAUGAGAACUUGGAUUGCUGAUUUGAUUGUGUAUGAAACCACUGAGUCAAGAGUAUUUGCAAAGAUUAAAGGUGCUGGUUGGAAAGCAUUUAAGGAGGAAAAUCAUCUCGAAGAAGGUGAUGUCUGUGUGCUUGAGUUGAUAGAGGAAUGUAAAUUCAGAGUUUCAUAUUCCGAGCAAGAGUGAAGAUUAACGAGUUAAGUGAAGCUGGAAGGCCAAGAUAAUUCAGCCAAGGAGAAGCUGUUAUCAUCCAAUUUUUAUUAACUAAGCAUAUGAACUAGUCAUGGUUCCAAAGCAUAUGUUUGACUUUUGAGGUGUAAACUCAGCAAAAAUUGUUUUUGAUGUCAGGAAUAGUUAAGCAUCCAUCUCAAGGAAAAUUUUUGAAGUAUUAU